UACGAAUGGUGCUAGCGUUGUUCGGAAUUACUGGGCGUAAAGCGCACGUAGGCGGACUCUUAAGUCAGGGGUGAAAUCCCGGGGCUCAACCUCGGAACUGCCUUUGAUACUGUGAGUCUCGAGACCGGAAGAGGUGAGUGGAAUUCCUAGUGUAGAGGUGAAAUUCGUAGAUAUUAGGAAGAACACCGGUGGCGAAGGCGGCUCACUGGUCCGGUUCUGACGCUGAGGUGCGAAAGCGUGGGGAGCAAACAGG
rnacentral:rRNA from 1 species